UAUAGAGUUACCAAAAUACAUUAAAAACCAUCACGCGUUUGGUGUGAGCAGACAUGCAGAAAUGAUGUAACGUAUAACCUUCAUUGAAUAUUAUAAAAGGAAAGGAAUAAUAGGCUUCUCCAAAAGAUGUAACGUAUAUUAAAGGAAUGGAAUGAUGGUUUUCUUGUCAAAUCACAAAUAUUACGCUUAAAAUUAUCCCUGUCAGGAGAUUUGCGAGUACAAAGAAAUCUCAAAUUUAUAUGUCGCCGUUUGAGUUGCAUUCAGUGGAUAAUUUUAAGCGUAAUAUGUGCGACACACGCCCUUUGUUGCAAGUUGCAUUCAGAAAACCUUUUGUUGCAAGUUGUAACUGUAUUCAUCGAUUGCAUGGUUCCUGCUCGAGGACGUUGUAAUAGACAGGCGGAUGAAGAACAUUCUCACAAAAAGCACAAACUGAAACCUAAAGAGUGAUCCAGAGUAGGAGAGGGGUCGUUUGCAGACAAACUUUCAAUGAAUAGUGCAGAAAGCUUCACGGAGGCAUUAGGAAGUUUAUUUGGUUGCAAUGGAAGCACUAGAGGAGGUAUCUGCUAUGGAGAUGAUUGUCAAUCUAAGGUGUGUAUCAACUAAAAUAUGUACCAGUCUUUGAAUUUUUUAUAUUGCUUGCUUUAUGACUCUUUUAUGGGCCUUAAGUCAUACCCCAUUGCAGUAGAAACCUAUAUAAUUAACAAGGAAAUAAUUUGUCUAAAGGAGGUGGAUGGAAUCAAUGCAUUCAGAAAAUUAUGCAUUCAAUUAUCUAUACUUAAGGGUAGAGCAUUUACGGGUGGACGGAUUUCUUUGUAGUUCCGCCGAAUAAAACAAAGAACAUAAAUAGCCGAAUAAAGAGACUUUAAUUUUUUUUGUUUUACAGGUGUAAGGAAUGUUUUCAGUCCUUUCAGUAAUCACUAAAUUGUUUUUCAGCAAUUCUGGCAAUUGCAAAACUGUUGGACGGUGAAUUAUGCAUGUUUUCAGGCGUGAGACAGGUUUGACACAAAAUGUGGACAGACAUGUUCACAUUAAACAAAACCUAUAGGUUAAUAAUAGUUUUAUUAUUCACAGCAGUAAUAUCUCUGUAGUCAGGUUAAAAGAAAAUAAAAUAACAAAUGUUAAUCACCCUAGGAUAUUAAAUUAAAAAAUUGAUAUGGUUCCAUAGGAACUUUAUUUUUAAAGUGUGAGGAGCUCCCUGAAUAGUAUAGAAGACGUGGAUUUCUUCAUUUACAUUUCUAGAUGGCCAGAUUUGUGUAACCACAGUUUUCUAUCAAAUAAAUUGGAUACCUUCUAAGAGAAUUCCAUAUUUAAAUACUAAGACACUGUUUCCUUUUUGUUGACUUUAUCUCAUGUGGAAAAUAUAUCUGUAGAUUGUAGUGAUAAUUUGUGCACUUAAUGUCUAUUUCCUGAAAAAUGUUUGUGAAGAGAUUGCUGAAACCUUUCUGAAUACAAUGCGGAGAACUUGCUGAACUCUGUUUCUCAGGAAAACCUAAAGAUACCAAGGCUUCUCUAGAAAAUUUUAUUAAUCUGCACCAAGAAGUAUCUCAGUUUGUUGUCAAUAUGGAUGCAUGGAAUAAACCCAUAGCUCCCCAUGGAGGUGGGACUUCAGAUAUCAAAGGAAAUAAUAUAAUUGAGUAAUCAGAGUGGAUCCACAACUACAUUAACUGAAAUAUUUUUAUUAAAUGAUCUUAAAAAAGUCCUCUAUUAAAUCUAAUUUAAAACAUGAUUUAGCUGCUGAAGAAUCACCAUCAAGGAGACUUAAAAUGAUUCUCAAGAUCAAAAAAAAAUCAAAAGGAUGCCUCUUUUCUAGGGGCUCAGUCUCUUAUUCUGGUACAAGGAAAUUGGGUAAGUCCAUGUUCUUCACUCCUAGUGGGAUGACCUGUAUGGUCACAUCAAUAGGAGGUCAAGGUAACAAUGACAACCAAAUAAUCAAAAGGUGUGCUAAUGUGAAUUUGCAUUUGAACACAUUGUGGUCAACAAAGUUGUCAAAUCAAAACCUCAACAACAAACAUCCAAUAACAUCAAUAUUGCAGCUUACUAAUGCACCUGAAUUGAGGAGAAUAGAAAUGUUAAACAUACAAUUUUAUGAUAUAAAUAUAAGAAUGUAAUAGGUAUUGAGAUACAUUUUCUUAAACCAUAUGUCAGCAACAUUAUCAAAUCCUUGUCUGAAAAUAAAUGGCAUUAGUAAUUGCAUUAAUUUCAUGUUUGCGAUAUGCAGUUUUUGAAGCCCACGUUUACUAUUCUAGCUGAUGAUAAAUCAAAUUCUUAUCUUCUAUUGAUUGGAGAGACUCAGCGUUAAAGAUACAUUGACAACAGUUACUGGAACUAUUGUACUAUUUCACCACACUGUUCUCGGUGAAGGCACAAAAUCCUUUUUUUUUUUUUUGUCCUAACAAGUUAUUUAUAUUUUAAUAGAGUUUUUAUUUUACAAUGAUGAUACUUGUUAACAAAACACUUAAUUUUCAACAUUCUUAGGGAGUUUGGAGAGGAGAUUUAUGCUGCUGCAUGCAUAGUAGAAAGGUUUCAGACAGAAGGGUAUGCAUAUGUAGCUCAGUUUGAUGAUGGUCCUUUGAGUGUAGAAUUGAUAUCAAAAAAAAUUGUAAGGCCUUUCCUUUUCUUCAUGUCUCGACCCCUAAAACUGUGUCAUCUGGUACAAGGAAGAGAUGAUGAUUAUUGAAUGGUCAAAUGCUUCAGAAUACUUUUACAAAGUGUAAGGAAUGUUUUCAGCCAUUUCAGUAAUCACUAAAUUGCUUUUCAGCAAUUCUAGCAAUUGCAAAACUGUUGGAUGGUAAAUUAUGCAUGUUUUCAGGCGUGAGGCAGGUUUGACACUAAAGAGUAAGUAACAGGAAAAAAAACAUUUUCACUCUUUUCUUGAAAUUUUAAUAAUAAAACUUAUGAUUUCUGGUUUUUUUUUCCCCUGAUUAAGGUUACGUUCUUUUUAGUUUUGUUGAUGCGAUAGAUCCGCAUAGUAUUGUCAAUGAUGCUGGUGAUACCGAUCUGCAAAAUAUCAUCAAUGAUGCGGUGAAAUCACUGAUGCCGGUGAAGCUGACCCACAAAAUAUCAUCAGUGAUGCCGCUGAAACUGAUCUGCCAAAUAUCGCCAAUGUUGUCGGUGAAACUGCGUUGUUCAAAGCUGUUGAGGAAGGUCAUGAGAAAAUCGUUGCAGAACUUUUGCCUUUAACACUUCUACAGCACUACUGGAGGACAGAUGGCCAAACGCUUGUGCACUGUGCGGUGCAAAGAAGUGCUUAAGAAGCUCAUCGCUGCUAAGCCGGACCUUCUUAAACAAGCUGACUAUUUACGCAGAACACCGUACCCCUAGAUUAUGCUGCCUGUCUUAAAGGAAUAUCACAUAUUGCAAAAAUUAUUUUAGAGAAAGACGUCUUCCUGUUAUACAGUGGACAGCAAUCACCAAUCAGCGCUUCAUAUAGCGGUCAAACAAGGCAACAUGAUUUAGUGAGAGAGAGAUUAAAAUAUGCCAAAGACUGCAUAGUAAUUGGAGGCAACAAGGGAAGAAAUGGUUUUCACCUGGUGAUUGAAAAUGCAGUACAAAUUUUUGACAAAAUUGGGAGACGCAUAAAAACCUUAUGUUCUUGGUGAUAUCAAAGAGGCUGAUCAAUGAAGCUGACAACCGAGGCAAGACGCCAUUGGACAUAGCGCUGGACAUUAUGGACACAGACGAACGCCUUUUCGAAGGAAUUAUAUGGUUGCUAGAAAUAAAUGGUGCGUGGAGGACUCCAAAAGAGAUGCGACACAAGUAAUGACUCAUUGAUGGCUUGAAAAAUCAACGUGGAAAGCCCAAAUUAUUUCAGUAAAUGCAAGGUUGAUUGGAGCGACAACUUUUCAUGUAGAUUUCAAUCUCCCAAAGGAACACAGAAUAUUAUGUUGUUUUCGUGCAAUUUACAAUUAUUCGUGAUGCAUUAACAUUAUGUAGCUUUUUAAUAUCUUUGUUGCUAGCAUUUGGAGGGGGAUUUUUUGUGGUGGUGGCACCAGACCUUACAGUUGCAGCAACCAUUGUUUUGAAUAUGGUGAUAAUUGUUCCAAUCUGGAUAAGAGUAAUGAUUCUAUGUUCCAGGAAAUACAUCUUGAAGAGAAGAUGAAAAUUACCUUUAGACUUUCGUAAUACUUGUUGUCGUUGAGAUCACAUUUUUCUUUUAUUGGACGAUAUUACAUUUUUGAUAGUUUUGAUAGUGGUGAUAGUGCGGCUUGGAUUUUUCAUUAGGCGGAGGAGAUACUUGCGAUGGACAUUACAUAUGUAUGGUCUUGUGUAUAUGUAAUGCCCAUCAUCUCUCGAGGUUUUUUUUGAAUGCAAGUAUUUAUUCCGCCCAAUGAGGAAUCCAAGCUGCACUAUCACCACUAUUAGAACUAUAAAAAAUGUAGUAGUCGUCCAAUAAAAGAAAACUGUGAUUUCAACGAUAAGUAUUACGAAAGUCCAAAGGUAGUUUUCGUCUUCUCUGAAGAUGUUUUUCUUGGAACAAAGAAUCAUUAUUUUUAUCCAGAUUGGAACAAUUAUCACCAUAUUCAAAACAAUGGUUGCUGCAACUGUAUGGUCUGGUGCCAUCGCCACACAGAUGCCUCCAAAUGCUAGCAGCAAAGAUAUUAAAACUCUCCAUAAUGCAGUGAGAGAGGCAUCAAAGAGAAGGGGGCUUUUUUGUUUACCAUAAAGUGCAUACAUUAGCAAAUCACUUUGUUUCCAUGCUUAAGUAACAUUUUUAAUUACUAUAGAAGAGCCAUAAUAUGGGUAAUAGUGGGUUUAGUUGCAUAUAUAAGUCGAAGAAUAUAUUUUCGAUGGAAACAAAGGUCCUUGAUAGAUGACCAUUAUAUGGGUCUUGACAUUAAUUAUUGGUGUAAUUAUGUAUAAUAUUCCUUUUGUCCUGAUAGUGGCUUAAGGGCUAUAGUUCAAAUGUGUAGGGAUCUGUAUAUUGAAAAUGUAAAGGGGGUCUGUCUCUUGAAAUUGUAAAGGGGAUCUUUCUAUGCAAUUGGAAAGGGAUUCUAUUUAUUGAAAUUGUAAAAGGGGUCUAUCUAUUGUAAAUGUAAUGGGAUCUAGUGAGUCAGUUAGGGGUGUUUUGUAAGAACUUUUGUACUUCAUUGAGCUAUCUUGGUUCUUUCUUGUUGGUAUGCUUGUCGGAAUUAGGUUUUUGUUUUAUCUACUAUUAAAUAUAUAAAAUUAUAGUGGCUUGCCACUUUUGCUAAAAAAUAAUUGUACUUUCAAAUGAAUUAAAAGGUUUAUUUUUUACUUA